rnacentral:rRNA from 1 species
UGCGAAUCUCGAAAGCCUGUCUCAGUUCGGAUUGGAGGCUGAAACCCGCCUCCAUGAAGUUGGAUUCGCUAGUAAUCGCGCAUCAGCCAUGGCGCGGUGAAUACGUUCCCGGGCCUUGUACACACCGCCCGUCAAGCCAUGGGAGCCGGGGGUGCCUGAAGUUCGUGACCGCAAGGAGCGACCUAGGGCAAAACUGGUGACUGGGGCUAAGUCGUAACAAGGUAGC